rnacentral:rRNA from 1 species
UAAGUCAGCCACGAAUAGGCUAUCCCAACUAACGGCGGGAAAGACUCCACGGAGGGUGUAAGACCCGUGUGGGCGCGUGUUAAAGCUGUGUGGGCUCGGCCUCUUUUCCCUGAGAGUCGCGUUGCUUGAGCAUGCAGCGCUAAGCAGGUCGUAAACUCGAUCUAAGGCUGAAUAUGUCCACAGAACCGAUAGCGAACAAGUACCGUGAGGGAAAGUUGAAAAGCACUCUGGAGAGAGAGUCAAAAGACCGUGAAACCGCUCAGAGUAUAAGCCCAUGGCAGCUUGGAAGGCAUAUCGCUAGCGGGGCAUCGGUCUUCCUUCGCGGGGAGCUGGUGUUACCUUGCUUCUGUUGUGGCUCGUUAUGGUAGGGGGGUCAAGUCCACAUCCCGCCGUCGUGUGGGGGGUUCUCGGGUGUGUUGUGGUUUCUCGGUUGGCUUCGGCUGGCCGGGGGGCCCUUCGUGCUCGGUUCCUCUUUAGACACGGACGUUCAGACUCAGAGGCAAGACGCGAUAAACAGCCCACCACGGCACGUUUGUGAGGUCACCCACAGACUCGACUUUCGAUCGUGAGCCUUGACGCCGAGCAAGCACAAUGCGUGUCGCUGAGGUUCCUAACCAGGCAACGGUGCCAGGAUCGUGGAACGACACGCGCUCAACAGUCAGGUUCGGGCGGAGACAGAGUUCUGGUAUGAUCCUCUUGCGACGAGCCGGCUUCUGGCCGAUAUCCGAUGCUCAGGUCUCCCGCAUGUGCCGCGGGAGAUCGCCUUGACGGUCUGGA